UACGUAGGUGGCAAGCGUUGUCCGGAAUUACUGGGUGUAAAGCGCGUGUAGGCGGGAGGCCAAGUCUGCUGUGAAAUCGCUCGGCUCAACUGGGCGGGGUCGGUGGAAACUGGUCACCUGGAGGACAGUAGAGGCGAGUGGAAUUCCCGGUGUAGUGGUGAAAUGCGUAGAGAUCGGGAGGAACACCAGUGGCGAAGGCGGCUCGCUGGGCCGGUCCUGACGCUGAGACGCGAAGGCGUGGGGAGCGAACGGG
rnacentral:rRNA from 1 species